rnacentral:rRNA from 1 species
UACGAAGGGGGCUAGCGUUGUUCGGAAUUACUGGGCGUAAAGCGCACGUAGGCGGACUACUAAGUCAGGGGUGAAAUCCCGGAGCUCAACCCCGGAACUGCCUUUGAUACUGAUAGUCUCGAGUCCGGAAGAGGUGAGUGGAAUUCCGAGUGUAGAGGUGAAAUUCGUAGAUAUUCGGAGGAACACCAGUGGCGAAAGCGGCUCACUGGUCCGGUACUGACGCUGAGGUGCGAAAGCGUGGGGAGCAAACAGG